UACGUAGGGUGCAAGCGUUGUCCGGAAUUAUUGGGCGUAAAGAGCUCGUAGGCGGUCUGUCACGUCGGCUGUGAAAACCCGAGGCUCAACCUCGGGCCUGCAGUCGAUACGGGCAAACUAGAGUACUGCAGGGGAGACUGGAAUUCCUGGUGUAGCGGUGAAAUGCGCAGAUAUCAGGAGGAACACCGGUGGCGAAGGCGGGGUCUCUGGGCAGUAACUGACGCUGAGGAGCGAAAGCGUGGGGGAGCGAACAGG
rnacentral:rRNA from 1 species